UACGGGGGGGGCAAGCGUUGUUCGGAAUUACUGGGCGUAAAGGGCGCGUAGGCGGUCUACUAAGUUGGAUGUGAAAACUCUGGGCUUAACCCAGAGCCUGCAUUCAAAACUGAUAGGCUGGAGUUCUGGAGGGGAUAGCGGAAUUCCUGGUGUAGCGGUGAAAUGCGUAGAUAUCAGGAGGAACGCCGGCGGUGUAGACGGCUUUCUGGACCGUAGCUGACGCUGAGACACGAAAGCGUGGGUAGCAAACAGG
rnacentral:rRNA from 1 species